rnacentral:lncRNA from 1 species
CAGAAUUGAACAGAAGGGCGGAAACGAAGGAGUUCGGCUCAUGGAUGGUUGUCUCGUGCCAUUCACGGAGGCUUACAAGGAGGAACACGAUUAUGGAUACAAAUAAGCAAAAUCACAGUAUUGGCUCACGUUUUCCUUAAUUUCUAAUUGGAAUUGCUGAAAUUAUGGAAGGGCAGAUAAAAGAUAGCAGUAGAGCUGUUAGGCCUUCUUUGGGCUUCUCAAUGGGUGAAAAUAAUGGGCCUCGAUAAAUGGGUCAAAAA